rnacentral:misc_RNA from 1 species
AUAAAUAUAAAAAUAUCUACUUAAGAAUUUCUCACAUAAUUUAGCAAGCAACAUCAACUUAACAUAAUCAUAGAGAAUUAGAGAUCACAAACCCACACCAGCAAGCGUUACUAUAUAAUGCAUUUAAAGCUUAUUUCAUCUUUUUUAGUUGCUCUGUAUGUUUUCCCUUCAAUUUCUAUUCCAGUGGUUUGAACACGACAAUCGGGCUCCUUACAAUGUGACGAGGGCUUUUCCAUGCAAGCGAACCAGACGCCAUUUGUCCACUUGAGAUGGGUUUUGCCUUAACCACGACCGUGAAGCUCCUCUUUUGUAAGGCACGAGAGAAGGAGAGACUCCUGGGGUUUACUGUGAUUUUCACCCCUUUAGGAGCCUCAAUAGUGGCAUUGUAGAUAGAAGGAGAAGGACCCACAUUGGUUACCGUCCGUCGAAAAAUUCCGAUGCUUGUCUCCCGGUCAUUUUUGGCAUUAAGUUGCAUGGUGGGAUAGUUAAGAGCAUCAUAGCCAAUUCCAGGAAGCAUUGAGGAGCAAUUUAUUUUUAAGCCAAUUAAAACAGCCAAUUUUGAUCCAGGGUAGCCUUCGUGACAUAGGAACUGGAUAUAAGACAUUUCAUCCAUGUCAUAGACUAAGCCAGGGCUUCUAGCUUUAGUUGGAUUUAAUUGACCAGCACCAUAGGCAAAUUCUGCGUCGCUGUUAGCUCUCACACUCAUAGGUUUUGCUGUGGUCAGAAUGGCAGAUUUGAUUGCUGCUGGUGUCCAAUUUGGGUGGAAUGACUUUACAUAGGCAGCUACCCCAGCAACAUGGGGACAGGCCAUUGAAGUCCCAGACAUAAGUAUGAAUUUUGAAUACUGAGUGUCUCCUUUUCGCCCUGUGAGUGAUCUCAGAGGAGUGUAAGAUGCCAAAAUGUCAAUGCCUGGUGCUGCAACGUCAGGCUUGAGGAGAUGCUCUGAUAGCGGAUUUGGUCCCCGAGAUGAAAACGAAGCAAUAAACGGUGCGGGGACUUUUACUUCGUGGGAUCUGUAUAUCACUGCUGAUGCUGAUCUAGUGGAAUGUAUAUAAUUAUUGAUGGUAUUACCAACAGUGACAUUGACCACUGUCCCUGGUGUCAUGAAAAUUUGGGCAGCGUCAAGAUAUUGCUCACUUUCAACAAUAGCUCCUAACCCACCAAGUCCUUUAACCACAGAAUCAGAACCCCACGCUUGUAGCUCGCAAUAAAUAAGCUUUCCCUUCACCUUUUUAGGGUCCAUUGAUCCAUCCAUACAAAACCUUGCGCUGUCCUUGCUCUCAGAGUUCUUAGCUACAUCAGCUCCACUAACAAUAGGGUAUGGUUUCUGCUUUGGUUCAAAUGCGUUCACCCCAAUCCCCUGUGUACUCAAGUAGACUCGGAUUAUAGAAUGGCAAAUUUUUUUUAACUUCAGAACAAGGCUUUUUAAGGUUUUUUGUCAUGUUAAUUAUUUCGAAUUAUUUAUCUUAAAAGUGAUAAUGUAGGACUUACCGAGAAAUUCUUCCCAUUACCCAACUCAACUUUGCUCCUAAACUGCCUAUCAAUGCCGCUAGCAGCCACGGUUAAGACCCAGGGUGCAUGGUUCGCCACAGUACCUGAAGUUGGUCCAUCAUUCCCAGCAGAGGCCACUGUAAUAACACCCUUCCUCAUGGCAUGAAAUGCACCUAUUGCCAAUGUAUCCGAUACAUAAUCCUUAGUCAUUCCACCAAUUGAUAUUGAGAUAACAUCAACACCAUCAGUUAUGGCAGCUUCAAAUGCUGCAAGUAUGUCCAUAUCCGAGCAACCUGAGCUGGCCCAACAUACUUUGUACAUGGCCACUCUGGCAGCUGGCACUGCACCACGAGCAUCACCUCUUGCUAGACCAAAAAGGCUUGCACCAGGAACUUGGUUGCCUGCUACGGUUGAUGAUGUGUGAGUCCCAUGGCCAUCCACGUCGAUGGGUGACAAGAUAUCGUUGGGGUCUGGAUUGCGAUCGAGCUUGAAGUGCCGAGCUCCUAUAAUUUUCUUGUUGCAUCCUGAGAAAUUAGCGAAAUGCCCACAAGUGCCUUUCCAUUUCUUGGGUAGAGGACCAAAGCCAUCGUCCUUGAAGCUCUCGGAUUCCGGGUUGAUCCCUGUAUCCAGUAGACCCACAACUAUGUUUCCCUCCGUUUGCAACUUUCUUUGUGCUGUGUUGGGAAGUCCAAUAAAAUCCCAUGAUUUGGUAGUGUGGAGUUUGUGAUACUGAUUUGGGAACACAGAAAGAACUUGGUCGUGUCGUGAUAACUUGUUGGCUUCAGCUUUAGAUAGCUUGGCUGCAAAUGCAUUAAAGCUCUUUGUAUAGCUGUACACGACAGACUCCUUGGCAUCACGAUCGCUUCUCUUCACGGAUAAGAGGAUAUCCAUAUGUGUUUGGACUGCGGAGACAUGGUUCAGUGGAUCAUCUCCAAGAUAGACAAUGUAGAAUUCCUUUCCUUCUCCAGUUGCAGCAACAAGCCCUGUCAAGGUCAAGAUCAAGAUGAGAGGGAAAGAAUGGAUAAAUUUUUCUCUCGACAUGAUAGCAGGAUCAAUGGUUUGGUGCCAAACUAUAUCCAGAGCUAUAUUUAUAUAUGUCUGUGUAAGCUUCUUGUGUAUCAAUAGCAACAAUUCAAGAAAAGUUUCAAAAGGGAUAAGAACACAGAAA